UUAGACGGGACCCGCACAAGCGGUGGAUGAUGUGGAUUAAUUCGAUGCAACGCGAAAACCUUACCUACCCUUGACAUGUCCGGAAUCCCGAAGAGAUUGGGAGUGCUCGCAAGAGAGCCGGAACACAGGUGCUGCAUGGCUGUCGUCAGCUCGUGUCGUGAGAUGUUGGGUUAAGUCCCGCAACGAGCGCAACCCUUGUCAUUAGUUGCCAUCAUUUGGUUGGGCACUCUAAUGAGACUGCCGGUGACAAACCGGAGGAAGGUGGGGAUGACGUCAAGUCCUCAUGGCCCUUAUGGGUAGGGCUUCACACGUCAUACAAUGGUCGGUACAGAGGGUUGCCAACCCGCGAGGGGGAGCUAAUCCCACAAAGCCGAUCGUAGUCCGGAUCGCAGUCUGCAACUCGACUGCGUGAAGUCGGAAUCGCUAGUAAUCGUGGAUCAGCAUGUCACGGUGAAUACGUUCCCGGGUCUU
rnacentral:rRNA from 1 species